rnacentral:tRNA from 1 species
GCCGGGAUAGCUUCAGCUGGCAGAGCAACUGAUUCGUAAUCAGUAGGUCGAGGGUUCGAGUCCCUUUCCCGGCUCCA